GACGAACGCUGGCGGCGUGCUUAACACAUGCAAGUCGAACGGAAAGGCCCUGCUUUUGUGGGGUGCUCGAGUGGCGAACGGGUGAGUAACACGUGAGUAACCUGCCCUUGACUUUGGGAUAACUUCAGGAAACUGGUGCUAAUACCGGAUAGGAGCUCCUGCUGCAUGGUGGGGGUCGGAAAGUUUCGGCGGUUGGGGAUGGACUCGGGGGUUAUGAGCUUGUUGGUGGGGUAGUGGCUUACCAAGGGUUUGACGGAUAGCCGGCCUGAGAAGGGGAACGGCGACAUGAGGACUAAGGUAGGGAGCAGAGUGGAAUAGGGGGCAACGGGGGGAAAUAUUGCACAGUGGGCGGGAGCGUGUGACAGAGGCGCCGCGUGCGGAAAGACGGCCUUGGGGUUAUGAACCGCAGUAACCUAUGACGAAGCGGGUGUGACGGUACUAAGAGAAGAAGCACCGGCUAACUACGUG
rnacentral:rRNA from 1 species